GUGCUCAUACAUGAAAAUCAGUCUAAAGUGGAGCAAGCAAGUGAGGAAGACGACAGACUUUCUUCACUGCUGGGGCCUCAAACACAGGCGAUGGGGACACAGAU